UUAAAAAUUCAGGUAGUCCAGCACCAAAGCACAGUGAGUUGCUUGUAAGUCACCGUGGUGAUCUCUGAUUAAAGGGAUACUUAUACUCAUAUCCCUUCGAAGUGACUCUUGACAGCAGAGUACUCCGAGUUGAUCACGUUUAGUGAAAUAUACUCCUAUAUUUCACUUGCAUGCCAUACCUGUAUCUCUAUGCUCCUUGGUUAAGAGG
rnacentral:lncRNA from 1 species